rnacentral:rRNA from 1 species
AGAGUUUGAUCCUGGCUCAGAACAAACGCUGGCGGCAUGCCUUACACAUGCAAGUCGAACGGUAACAGGUCUUCGGAUGCUGACGAGUGGCGAACGGGUGAGUAAUACAUCGGAACGUGCCUAGUAGUGGGGGAUAACUACUCGAAAGAGUAGCUAAUACCGCAUGAGAUCUACGGAUGAAAGCAGGGGAUCGCAAGACCUUGUGCUACUAGAGCGGCUGAUGGCAGAUUAGGUAGUUGGUGAGGUAAAAGCUCACCAAGGCGACGAUCGGUAGCUGGUCUGAGAGGAUGAUCAGCCACACUGGGACUGAGACACGGCCCAGACUCCUACGGGAGGCAGCAGUGGGGAAUAUUGGACAAUGGGCGCAAGCCUGAUCCAGCCAUGCCGCGUGAGUGAUGAAGGCCUUAGGGUUGUAAAGCUCUUUCGACGGGGACGAUGAUGACGGUACCCGUAGAAGAAGCCCCGGCUAACUUCGUGCCAGCAGCCGCGGUAAU